GAUAAACGCUGGCGGCGUGCCUAACACAUGCAAGUCGAACGUCCUUUCUUUCCUUCGGAAGAGGGAGGGAGUGGCGGACGGGUGAGUAACACAUGGGUGACCUGGCCUUUGGUGAGGGAUACCGGCGAGAAAUUGCCGACAAGCCCGCAUAGGGUCCUCUGAGUAGAGCAAGGGGAGCAAAGCCUUCGCGAGAGAGAGCC
rnacentral:rRNA from 1 species